GUGUCUUGGUGAUUACAAAGUAGAUAUGGCCACACAAAAUAUGUUGCCCAUAUGAAAAAGCGGUACAUGAGCGAGUGGUCCAACCCAAGCCACACAACAAGAUAUUGUCAAAAAUAACAAAAAUGCACACUCUUCAAAGUUUUAUUAAGUUUUUUGAAACCUCUUAACGAUAUAUUAUCAGCUUUAUAAUUUCUGUGAUUAAUGAUUUUUAAUCUCCACGAAUCAGUCAUCUGCCGGUAUUUGUUGUUUCAACAUAAUCAGACACAGCGUCGAUGGAUUUCUGUAAGAAACAAAGAACAACUUAAUCAAUGUUAUUUUACCAAAAAAAAAGAAAAACUUAAUCCAUGUCGGACUAUGUUUGCUGAAAUUAUGCGAUGACCAAUUCAAAUGAAAUUUUGAUUUGGCAGAUAAAUGGAUAAAGCUUUACGUUAAAAUAUAUUUUAAUUUUCUACACCUAACCACACAAAAUCUACUCCCAUAAUUAUCCGUUGCUUUGACCGAGUUUUAUCUCCCGUUUAACUACGUAACAAGUAUAAUAAGAUAAUAUUUGGUCAUUUCAAGAAGCAGCUAGCCGACUAAAAGAUAUAAAUGGUAGGAAGGGACAUAACUUAUUUUAAAUAUUUGGGAUAAAGGAUAUGAAGAAAUGAAUCAAGUCUGGAACACGGUGAUCAACCACUUUUAGCAAACAUCCAAAAUAAAAAACAGACAGAGAGAACCUCAAACAACAAAGAAAGACGGAGGAAAAGGAGGAACAGUUACCGCCAACCAUGGCGGGUCUUCAGAGAUCCAACAUCUCCUUCCGCCGACAGGGCUCCUCUGGCAUAGUCUGGGACGACCGUCUCAUCGCCGAGCUUAACAAACAGGCCAACGAGCACAAAGGCGAA
rnacentral:lncRNA from 1 species